CUUCACUCAUGACCUGCUGGAUCACAACCUGCAUUCAACCAGAACCAAGGGCCCCUGGAGAUUCUGGUGCACAUCAAAGUUGGAACUCUAAUACAUAUUAUCACAUGCAACUUGCUUUUUUAGCAACAGUAUGUCUUUGACGUCUUUCAGCGUAAGAACAGUUUGGUCACAUUCCUUGUUCACGGCUGCAUAGUUUCCCACUGUUUGGCAGUGCUCUGGUUUUGUUCCCUGGUCUGCUAAAAAUGACUGUGCUGGGCUUGAAGAACGGAUGGAUAAAAUGCCACUUGGAGGGGAGUGUGAAUAGAGAAGUGCUGAUGUUCUGGGCAGAGGAAUCAGCAUAAGCAAAGGUUACUGUGCUGAUUCAACCCUCAGGAGGGAGAAGUUCUUAUUAGUUCCCCUUGACAGAUGAGGCAACUGAGGCACAAAGAGGAAUGUGGCUGAGGUCACAAAGCCAGAAAGUGAUGGAGUGAAGAUGUGAAUUGGAGUCUGGCCGGGAGCUGUCGCUAAGCAUGGACUAUUCCUGGGGUUUCUGAGCUGGGCGUCUGGUUGUGGGUAUACUCUGUGAGCCUGCGUUGGUGUGCUGUGCUGGGUGCCUUGCUGGGACUUGCUGCUGUGCGGUGAUGGACGUAGAUGUCAAGAAGGGAAGAGCUGCUGUGAUGAACACCAGCCCGAGGAUGGAAGGAGGAAACUGCAUCCUGGAGUCAUUCGUUCAUUCGUUUGCUCAUUAAUCAACCUUCCCCAAGCAACCAUGAUGUACAGGGCUCUGAGCUGGUGUCCCAAGGACAUGGGGACAACUCAGCAGCUGCCUUCUACUGUCAAAGGGCACGUGACAUUACUGAGGGCAGAAAUAAGAGGAGGAAGUAGCAGGUUACAGGAUAAGGACACCAUCAUCAAUAGCUGGUUAGGAAGUGUACUGGGAAAAUAGCGACAAUAGCUACU